CUACGGGAUGCUCCAGUCGGGAAUAUUGCGCAAUGGAGGAAACUCUGACGCAGUGACGCCGCGUAUAGGAAGAAGGUUUUCGGAUUGUAAACUAUUGUCGUUAGGGAAGAUAAAAGACAGUACCUAAGGAGGAAGCUCCGGCUAACUACGUGCCAGCAGCCGCGGUAAUACGUAGGGAGCAAGCGUUAUCCGGAUUUAUUGGGUGUAAAGGGUGCGUAGACGGGAAGACAAGUUAGUUGUGAAAUCCCUCGGCUUAACUGAGGAACUGCAACUAAAACUAUUUUUCUUGAGUGUUGGAGAGGAAAGUGGAAUUCCUAGUGUAGCGGUGAAAUGCGUAGAUAUUAGGAGGAACACCGGUGGCGAAGGCGACUUUCUGGACAAUAACUGACGUUGAGGCACGAAAGUGUGGGGAGCAAACAGGAUUAGAUACCCUAGUAGUC
rnacentral:rRNA from 1 species